rnacentral:rRNA from 1 species
CGCUACGGCCACGCCCCCCAGAACACGCCUGAUCCCGUCUGGUCUCAGCAGCUAAGCAGAGUCGGGCCUGCUUAGUACUUGGAUGGGAGACCAUCUGGGAAGACCGGGUGCUAUAGAGG